UAUUCGGGUAGAAUUUUGACUGAACUAAAACAGAAGUUAAAUUUCAUCUAGAGAUGGAUAUGAUGGCUGUGGGGAUGCUGUCUUCCCUUUUUGGGUGAGAAUGUCUUCCUCUGUGCAAAUGUUAGUUGCGUCAUUAGGAGGUAGCAUGAAGUCGUUACUGUUCUUGUAUGCAAGUUUAAGUGUUGGUCGAGGGCUUUGAUUGGAUACUGAGUAAAGGGGUAUAUUGUGCAUUCAUUCUUAUUAUUUGUCUCUUGUCUCCUAGAUCUAAGCCUACUCUUCUAUAUUCUGUUCUGUGAUGCUGGGGCUGGGUCUCUGCAAACUGCUCUUCCUAGAUUUCCUUGCUAGCUGGCUUCCUUCCGCUAGGCUGUGCCAAUGGGAAGCACUCAUGGAAAACUGGAAAGAGUGAAGAGAGGAAAAGGCCGAGAGGUGAAGGACCAAUAACUCUGAGAAGGGGUAUUUGUAUAUUGAAAAGAAGAAUAUCUUCACCUGUCUUUGUGCCUUGUUUCUGUAUAAGUAACGUCCAAUGAUUAUGAUUAUGGGAGUCAGCAGUAUCAGAAAUGCUGCCAAAGCUGUGACUACUCUGAAGACUGAUGAACUGAAGGACUCAGCAACUGAAAUGCAGAUUUCCACCAGUCAGUUACAGUUAUGAAGAGCAUUGUUCCCACCUGCGCUUCUUGCUUAGUAAGAUGGUAGAUGGAAAUUGAGGGAAGAGAUGAAAGACGUCAUAGGAGUUACUUUCAGUGGAAUACAUUUCUAGAUGGCCAAGAGGAAAAGUUUGGAUUGGGGGAAUUGGAAACAGUGGAAAAUCGAUCCAAAUUAGAGAAUGAAUGGAGAUGUUUUAAAAUAAUCAUAUGUGCCAGGCAUGGAGAUGCACUGCUCAGAUCCCUCUUCGGGAAAGGACCCAUUGCCCAGCAGCUGCAAGUAUGAAAACACAGGGGCCAGAGAAACAUUAAAUAACACCAUGGAGAUGGAUGCAACUAACCAAAUCCAGAAUGUGGGAGAAGAAAGAUGACAAGACAAUGACCAGUUCCUUCAAUAAACCAAUUGCAAAGAAAACAAAAAGAUGGGCAUGGCAAUCUUGGAAUUCUUGUGUUGAAGGUGGAGCCACAGAGGGAAGGAAUCUUGAGUCUCCAAGUCAUCACUUAGAGGAGAGCUGCCAGCCAGUGAAGAAAAUCUCUUUUGGACUUUAUACAAUGAAAGCCCUGCUGGCUGCUCUCACCCUGAAGCACAUCUCGACUGACACAUCUGAAGUCUGCAGGUGCACCGGUCCGGGUCCCUGCCCUGAAUGAGAGGAGAUCUGGAAUUUGUCCCCAGUUCUGUCACAAAUUUCUAUGUGAUAUCUGCGGAGCCCCAUCCGAAGGGCCUUACUCCUAUGUAAAAUGAAGGGUUGAUGGAGACGAUGUUUAAAUUCCCGACUAAUCUUAACACUGAGGCAGCCUUCCUCUCACUGGAUCAUCACCGAUAUCAGCUUCUUGAGGGCACAGUCUGAGUGCUGAGUGUUCUAUUUUCAGCCCCUGGCAGAGGGGCUGGUUCCCAGUCAGCACCCAAUAAAUAUUGAAAGAAGGAACACUGUUCUUCGAAGUAGGGUGCGUGUGUGUUCAGUGCCGGGCGGCUCCGGCCUGUGCCGUGGGCAGUCAGAGUGGCUCCUGUUGGCCUGAGCGGGCUCUCUGAAGGAAGAGGUGCUGACGUGAGUGUAAA